rnacentral:lncRNA from 1 species
AAAAAAAAAACAGAACUGAAUGCCAGACAGCUUCAGCUGUUACAAAUGGAAAUUUACUUUGCCCAUCUGAAACAUUUUCACAUGUUUCAGUUCCUUCUUUUCAUCAGAUUCACACAAAGCAGUUGACUCUUCAUGGAAGGGAGAUUUAUAAUGGAUUCAAGCUUAAUAAUGUCAAAGCACAGCAGUUAAGAGGAGGGGGUAAACCUGAUGAAAAUGAAUGAAAAUGAUAUCUUAUAAAAUCAUACAGUCUGUGACUUCCAUAAAAGCCUGAAUGAAAGCAGUAAGAAAGCUCCCAGGAACCUGCAGUCUUCUCCAUCUACUGCAAAACUCCAUCUGGUAUCAAUUCUUUCCAUCAGUCCAUGGCUAUCCCCUACAAACUAUCUGAGUUUCACCUUUUUGCUCUAAUUGCAUGAACUACCCUUGGACACAGGAGGAUAUUAUUGGUUGAGUAGAAAGAUCUGUCAAAGAAUUCUAUGCUGCU